rnacentral:rRNA from 1 species
CCUACGGGCGGCUGCAGUCGAGAAUCUUUCUCAAUGGGGGCAACCCUGAAGGAGCGACGCCGCGUGGGGGAUGAAGGGCUUCGGCUCGUAAACCCCUGUCAUUUGUGAGCAGGUGUGAUUGUUUAAGAGAUGGUUACAUAGAUAGUAGCAAAAGAGGAAGGGACGGCUAACUCUGUGCCAGCAGCCGCGGUAAUACAGAGGUCCCAAGCGUUGUUCGGAAUCACUGGGCGUAAAGGGUGCGUAGGCGGUAGUGUAAGACUUAGGUGAAAUCUCCAUGCUUAACGUGGAGCUCGCCUGGGAGACUGCAUUACUUGAGGAUUGGAGGGGAGACUGGAAUUCUUGGAGUAGCAGUGAAAUGCGUAGAUAUCAAGAGGAAGACCAGUGGCGAAGGCGAGUCUCUGGACAAUACCUGACGCUGAGGCACGAAGGCCAGGGGAUCAAACGGGCUUAGAUACCCCGGUAGUC